UAAUUAAUCCAACUUAGACUUUAAAAUUACCCUGAGUUGUGGUCUCUUAUCAAUAUUGUUUUGUUCUCUAGGCUAAUAGGAGAAGCUCAUAGUCGUCCAAAAACAUUGACUGGACAUUUAAAGAAAAAAAAAACACAGAAGGACGAAGAAGAAGAAGAAGCAAGCUCCGAGUAGAAGGUUUACAAGAUGGGAAAAGUAAUUUGCCAUCAAUUAUGUGAAGGCAGCGAUGGUUUCAAUUUGAAGGGACUUAUCAUGGCAUUCAUCAUUGCUCUGGCUAUCAUGGCCACCUGUUUCCCAUCUUCACGACGCCGUUUUGUGAUCCGUCCAAUCAUGUAUGUCGCAUAGUCUUGCGUUUUGUAGGGCAGCAUAUCGUGCCGCUGUAUUUGUUUUAUUUAUUUUUUUUUUUUUCCGUUGAAUUUGACGACUUCAGUUCAUGCUGUUGUUAAUCCAACAAAGUAUUUCUAGGGCGUUUAGAUGUGCCAGUAGUUUUGCCAUCAAGGCUUUCUAUCCUACACUUUAAUGCAUACAUAGAAGCAGACGAGUUUCCUGAAUUGUGUGUGUCAACCUGUUACGUAAUAUAAUGCAUACAGUCUCUUUUCCUUCCC